CUACGGGUUGCAGCAGUGGGGAAUAUUGGACAAUGGACCAAAAGUCUGAUCCAGCAAUUCUGUGUGCACGAUGAAGGUCUUCGGAUUGUAAAGUGCUUUCAGUAGGGAAGAAGAAUGUGACGGUACCUACAGAAGAAGCGACGGCUAAAUACGUGCCAGCAGCCGCGGUAAUACGUAUGUCGCAAGCGUUAUCCGGAAUUAUUGGGCAUAAAGGGCGUCUAGGUGGUUUACUAAGUCUGAUGUGAAAAUGCGGGGCUCAACUCCGUAUUGCGUUGGAAACUGGUUUACUAGAGUCUUGGAGAGGUGGGCGGAACUACAAGUGUAGAGGUGAAAUUCGUAGAUAUUUGUAGGAAUGCCGAUGACGAAGGUAGCUCACUGGACAAGUACUGACACUAAAGCGCGAAAGCUAGGGGAGCAAACAGGAUUAGAUACCCUCGUAGUC
rnacentral:rRNA from 1 species